rnacentral:rRNA from 1 species
GACGUAGGGCGCGAGCGUUGUCCGGAUUUAUUGGGCGUAAAGAGCUCGUAGGCGGUUUGGUAAGUCUGGUGUGAAAUCUCCACGCUCAACGUGGAGGGGCCACCCGAUACUGCCAUGACUGGAGUCCGGUAGAGGAGUGUGGAAUUCCCGGUGUAGCGGUGAAAUGCGCAGAUAUCGGGAGGAACACCCGUAGCGAAGGCGGCACUCUGGGCCGGUACUGACGCUGGGGAGCGAAAGCGUGGGGAGCAAACAGG